rnacentral:rRNA from 1 species
UUGAACGCUGGCGGCAGGCCUAACACAUGCAAGUCGAGCGGUAACACAGAGAGCUUGCUCUCGGGUGACGAGCGGCGGACGGGUGAGUAAUGUCUGGGAAACUGCCUGAUGGAGGGGGAUAACUACUGGAAACGGUAGCUAAUACCGCAUAACGUCGCAAGACCAAAGUGGGGGACCUUCGGGCCUCAUGCCAUCAGAUGUGCCCAGAUGGGAUUAGCUAGUAGGUGGGGUAACGGCUCACCUAGGCGACGAUCCCUAGCUGGUCUGAGAGGAUGACCAGCCACACUGGAACUGAGACACGGUCCAGACUCCUACGGGAGGCAGCAGUGGGGAAUAUUGCACAAUGGGCGCAAGCCUGAUGCAGCCAUGCCGCGUGUGUGAAGAAGGCCUUCGGGUUGUAAAGCACUUUCAGCGGGGAGGAAGGCGGUGAGGUUAAUAACCUCAUCGAUUGACGUUACCCGCAGAAGAAGCACCGGCUAACUCCGUGCCAGCAGCCGCGGUAAUACGGAGGGUGCAAGCGUUAAUCGGAAUUACUGGGCGUAAAGCGCACGCAGGCGGUCUGUCAAGUCGGAUGUGAAAUCCCCGGGCUCAACCUGGGAACUGCAUUCGAAACUGGCAGGCUAGAGUCUUGUAGAGGGGGGUAGAAUUCCAGGUGUAGCGGUGAAAUGCGUAGAGAUCUGGAGGAAUACCGGUGGCGAAGGCGGCCCCCUGGACAAAGACUGACGCUCAGGUGCGAAAGCGUGGGGAGCAGACAGGAUUAGAUACCCUGGUAGUCCACGCCGUAAACGAUGUCGAUUUGGAGGUUGUGCCCUUGAGGCGUGGCUUCCGGAGCUAACGCGUUAAAUCGACCGCCUGGGGAGUACGGCCGCAAGGUUAAAACUCAAAUGAAUUGACGGGGGCCCGCACAAGCGGUGGAGCAUGUGGUUUAAUUCGAUGCAACGCGAAGAACCUUACCUGGUCUUGACAUCCACAGAACUUUCCAGAGAUGGAUUGGUGCCUUCGGGAACUGUGAGACAGGUGCUGCAUGGCUGUCGUCAGCUCGUGUUGUGAAAUGUUGGGUUAAGUCCCGCAACGAGCGCAACCCUUAUCCUUUGUUGCCAGCGGUUCGGCCGGGAACUCAAAGGAGACUGCCAGUGAUAAACUGGAGGAAGGUGGGGAUGACGUCAAGUCAUCAUGGCCCUUACGACCAGGGCUACACACGUGCUACAAUGGCAUAUACAAAGAGAAGCGACCUCGCGAGAGCAAGCGGACCUCAUAAAGUAUGUCGUGGUCCGGAUUGGAGUCUGCAACUCGACUCCAUGAAGUCGGAAUCGCUAGUAAUCGUAGAUCAGAAUGCUACGGUGAAUACGUUCCCGGGCCUUGUACACACCGCCCGUCACACCAUGGGAGUGGGUUGCAAAAGAAGUAGGUAGCUUAACCUUCGGGAGGGCGCUUACCACUUUGUGAUUCAUGACUGGGGUG